CCUGGGCAGACCACCAAAGAGGCAGCAUGUAACUUGCCCAGCUGAAAAAGAAACCUCAAAACAGAGUUUCUGGAGAGAUUACAUCUUGGAGAUAAGAGUGAGAGAAACCCUGCCCGUCUGCUUCUGACUGUGCAGUCCUCGGUGAACAGCAGAACCUUAUCUUCCUCUGAAGCCUUGCCUCUUCGCUGCAGCAAGUGUCUGUGCAUACUGCCAUAACAAAUGCCAUAGAAUGGGAAGAUAGAACUGACCACAGGAAUCUGUCACGAAGAGGCUGAAGAUUCUAGCAGGAGGAAAUUUGUCCUGAAAUGUGUUUUUCAUGUGAAGAAGGAACAAUAGAACUUCCAUCUUUGGUUCUUGGGGAAAGUGUUCAAGCAGCUUAAAAAGGCUCAUGUGUUUCAGUACCUGGUCCCCAGCUGGUGAUGCUGGCUUUGGAGGCGAGCCUUGCCUUCCCUGCCAUGGCGGACUGUAUCUUCUGAAACUGUCCUGCAGGAACACACAUUAACCAUGAGUGACGGGAGGAAGAAAGGAGCUCCUGACAGAAGCAUGCUCUUCCCAUGAGUGAAAGGAGGAUUGGAGGGGUGAAUGUGAAUGGAAGCCAUGGUCCAGCAGAAAACAUCACUUUGGUUCUACCCUUGCCGCAUCUCUGCACACCUUUUCUGAUAUAUCCCCUGUCUUUGCCAAC